UGAUACGUAGGUGGCGAGCGUUAUCCGGAUUUACUGGGCGUAAAGAGGGCGCAGGCGGUUUUUCAAGUCGGAUGUAAAAUCUCCCAGCUUAACUGGGAGGGACCAUUCGAUACUGUUAAACUAGAGGACAACAGGGGGAGGUAGAAUUCCCGGUGUAGUGGUGAAAUGCGUAGAUAUCGGGAGGAAUACCAGUGGCGAAGGCGGCCUCCUGGGUUGUUGCUGACGCUUAAGCCCGAAGGCGUGGGGAGCAAACAGGAUUAGAUACCCUGGUAGUCCACGCUGUAAACUAUGGACACUGGGUAUAGGGAGUAUCGACCCUCUCUGUGCCGAAGCUAACGCGUUAAGUGUCCCGUCUGGGGACUACGGCCGCGAGGUUA
rnacentral:rRNA from 1 species